UAUGGUCCAAUCAGUUUACUGCCAUGGGAUGGGACUGCGGCCUAUCAGCUUGUUGGUGAGGUAAUGGCGCACCAAGGCGAUUACAGGUACGGGCUCUGAGAGGAGAAGCCCGGAGAUGGGUACUGAGACACGGACCCAGGCCCUAUGGGGCGCAGCAGGCGAGAAACCUUAGCAAUGUGCGAAAGCACGACUGGGUCAGUCCGAGUGAUUCCUGAUAAAGGAGUCUUUUGCUUGUCCUAAAAGCACAGGUGAAUAAGGGGUGGGCAAGUCUGGUGUCAGCCGCCGCGGUAAUACCAGCACCUCGAGUGGUCAGGACGUUUAUUGGGCCUAAAGCAUCCGUAGCCGGCUUUGCAAGUCUUCGGUUAAAUCCACCUGCUCAACAGAUUGGCCGCUGGAGAUACUACAAAGCUAGGGAGUGGGAGAGGCAGACGGUAUUCGGGGGGUAGGGGUAAAAUCCUCUGAUCCUCUGAGGACCACCAGUGGCGAAGGCGGUCUGCCAGAACACGUUCGACAGUGAGGGAUGAAAGCUGGGGGAGCAAACCGGAUUAGAUACCCGGGUAGUCCCAGCUGUAAACGAUGCAAACUCGGUGAAGCAUUGGCUUAAUGCUAAUGCUGUGCCGCAGGGAAGCCGUUAAGUCUGCCGCCUGGGAAGUACGGUCGCAAGAUUGAAACUUAAAGGAAUUGGCGGGGGAGCACCACAAGGGGUGAAGCCUGCGGUUCAAUUGGAGUCAACGCCAGGAAUC
rnacentral:rRNA from 1 species